rnacentral:rRNA from 1 species
AACGAACGCUGGCGGCAUGCCUAACACAUGCAAGUCGAACGAGACCUUCGGGUCUAGUGGCGCACGGGUGCGUAACGCGUGGGAACCUGCCCUUAGGUUCGGAAUAACUCCCCCAAAGGGGUGCUAAUACCGGAUAAUGUCUUCGGACCAAAGAUUUAUCGCCUUUAGAUGGGCCCGCGUUGGAUUAGCUAGUUGGUAGGGUAAAAGCCUACCAAGGCGACGAUCCAUAGCUGGUCUGAGAGGAUGAUCAGCCACACUGGGACUGAGACACGGCCCAGACUCCUACGGGAGGCAGCAGUGGGGAAUAUUGGACAAUGGGCGAAAGCCUGAUCCAGCAAUGCCGCGUGAGUGAUGAAGGCCUUAGGGUUGUAAAGCUCUUUUACCCGGAAUGAUAAUGACAGUACCGGGAGAAUAAGCUCCGGCUAACUCCGUG